UGUGGCAGGAGGGUUGGAACUUGACAAUCUUCAGGGUUCAUUCCAACCCAAGCCAUUCUAUGAUUCUAUGAUUCAACACCUUCUGCUGAAAGCUAUCGUAGGGACCAAAAAUUGGUUUGGUCUAGACAUGGAAAAAACAAUACAUACCUUUUAUUUCUUCUCCUUUCAGAUGGAUGCUGCGCACUUUCAAGUGGGUUAUUUAGAAGGUUUGUGACCAGAAAUCAAACCAGGCUGGAAAAAAAUGUAGAUCUACCUGUUUACAUCAUAAACCACAAACGCAUUUGCAUCCUGCAACAAACACCUGGGCCACAUCCAGUGGAGACAUUCCCAGUGUGUUAACUACUGCCAGCGCUGGAAUCCUGUAACCACAGCACAUCAAGAUGAUGGGAGCUCAAUUAAAUUAAGGAGAAACACCAAGAUUGUGAAACUUGGCGGUAGGACAAGAGCUGGUUGCAACACGGGUUGGACUUUAGAAGUGUGACCUUUUGACCUGAAUCACGAUGAGUGGUUAUGAGGAAGAGCUGCUCUCACUUCUAAAUUAUUGCCAUGCAAUGAGCAGAUUUCCAUGGGGUGGCUGAAGUCGUGUCCUGAGAUACGAGGGAUACAAGCAUCCCAUUCCUGCUCUACUUUGUACUACAAGACUGGUCUUAGAGGAGCUUAUUCUCUUAAAAUGUCCUGACUGGCUGAAUAAAACACAAUUUCUGUUUUAAUAUUGUUGGGUUGUGAAACAUUGCAAUAGAGGCACAAAAGUGGGCAAGAACGAGUUUUACUGCAGACGUUUUAUCUUCUGAUAGAUUGUCCCAGUCCUGCAUUCCUCAUUCCCUGGGCGUUUGGUCCAGCUCAGAUUGGAAGACGGUGAAGAUCUUGGGAGAUCUCCAACAACGUGGGGCAAAAUUCACUGAUAACAGAAAUGCAAUGGCUUUGGUUGAUCUGUAUAAAGAAAAAAAAAAACAGUCCGUCGUGAGAAUGCAGAGUUAGAUUGAGAAGAAAAGCUGAGCCCUAAAAGGGAGGCUGGUGCGUGGUGUAUUCAAUAAUUGCAUUUAUGAAUAAACAAUUAAGUAUUACCAAUGAAUCUCUUGCAUUUU